rnacentral:snoRNA from 1 species
AUGCAUCUAUUAGACAGACUUGGACCAGUUGCUUUCUGCUGCUAAGGUUCCUGUACAGAUGCAAGAAAAAAGAGUCCUUGUGCUUUCUAUCUGUCUGAUUGCGGCAGCCAAGACUCAAUGGGGGAAUACACUG